GUGGGAGGGGGCUUGCCCCCGAUGGCGGUGGGUCAGUUAGAACACCUUUGCCUGACCUGCCGCUAUCGGGGGCAAGCCCCCUCCCAC
rnacentral:misc_RNA from 1 species